AGCCACAGCCAUAUCAACCUGCAGCUGCAAGAGCGGUUACUCACUGAAGCUAAGCAGGGCUGAGCCUGGUCAAUACCUGGAUGGGAGACCACAUGGGAAAACUAGGUUGCUGUUGGAA
rfam:Danio rerio chromosome 25 genomic contig CTG2378, GRCz11 reference primary assembly.